rnacentral:rRNA from 1 species
AACGAACGCUGGCGGCAUGCCUAACACAUGCAAGUCGAACGCUCCGCAAGGGGAGUGGCGAACGGGUGAGUAACGCGUGGGAACCUGCCCAGUAGUUGGGGAUAACCGCGGGAAACUGCGGCUAAUACCGAAUACGCCCUAAGGGGAAAGAUUAUCGCUAUUGGAGGGCCCGCGUCGGAUUAGCUGGUUGGUGAGGUAACGGCUCACCAAGGCGACGAUCCGUAGCUGGUCUGAGAGGANGAUCAGCCACACU